rnacentral:rRNA from 1 species
CAGUAGCCACGGGAAUACGAAGGGGGCUAGCGUUGCUCGGAAUUACUGGGCGUAAAGGGAGCGUAGGCGGACAUUUAAGUCAGGGGUGAAAUCCCAGAGCUCAACUCUGGAACUGCCUUUGAUACUGGGUGUCUUGAGUGUGAUAGAGGUAUGUGGAACUCCGAGUGUAGAGGUGAAAUUCGUAGAUAUUCGGAAGAACACCAGUGGCGAAGGCGACAUACUGGAUCAUUACUGACGCUGAGGCUCGAAAGCGUGGGGAGCAAACAGGAUUAGAUACCCCAGUAGUCCCUGUCUCUUAUAA